rnacentral:tRNA from 1 species
AGCAACUAAGCGCACAGCCGAGCAAUCCUGCAAAGGACUCGACUCUUAGCUGUUAACCGAAGGGUUGUAGGUUCGAAUCCUACCUGAGGAGCACCA